rnacentral:rRNA from 1 species
GACGAACGCUGGCGGCGUGCCUAAUACCUGCAAGUAGAACGCAGUUGCGAACGGGUGAGUAACGCGUAGGUAACUGCCUCAUAGCGGGGGAUAACUAUUGGAAACGAUAGCUAAUACCGCAUACUGUGAGAUGGACCUGCGUUGUAUUAGCUAGUUGGUGAGGUAAAGGCUCACCAAGGCGGAGGUACAUAGCCGACCUGAGAGGGUGAGCGGGCACACUGGGGCUGGGACACAGGCCCAAAUCCUACGGGGGGGAGCAGUAGGGGAACUUCGGAAAUGGACGGAAGUCUGAACGAACAAAGGCGGGUGAGUGGAUAAGGUUUUCGGAUCGUAAAACUAUGUUGUUAGAGAAGCGGUAACUAACGAAAAAGGGACGGCUAACUACGUGCCAGCAGCCGCGGUAAUAC